AACGAACGCUGGCGGCAGGCUUAACACAUGCAAGUCGAGCGAGACCUUCGGGUCUAGCGGCGGACGGGUGAGUAACGCGUGGGAACGUGCCCUUCUCUACGGAAUAGCCCCGGGAAACUGGGAGUAAUACCGUAUACGCCCUUUGGGGGAAAGAUUUAUCGGAGAAGGAUCGGCCCGCGUUGGAUUAGGUAGUUGGUGGGGUAAUGGCCCACCAAGCCGACGAUCCAUAGCUGGUUUGAGAGGAUGAUCAGCCACACUGGGACUGAGACACGGCCCAGACUCCUACGGGAGGCAGCAGUGGGGAAUCUUAGACAAUGGGGGCAACCCUGAUCUUGCCAUGCCGCGUGAGUGAUGAAGGCCUUAGGGUUGUAAAGCUCUUUCAGCUGGGAAGAUAAUGACGGUACCAGCAGAAGAAGCCCCGGCUAACUCCGUGCCAGCCGCCGCCGUAA
rnacentral:rRNA from 1 species